AGACGUCUACAUUAGACUACCCCGGUAGUCCCAGCCGUAAACUAUGCGCGUUAGGUGUAUCGGUGACCACGAGUUACCGAGGUGCCGAAGGGAACCGUGAAACGUGCCGCCUGGGAAGUACGGUCGCAAGGCUGAAACUUAAAGGAAUUGGCGGGGAGCACCACAACAGGUGGAGCCUGCGGUUUAAUUGGACUCAACGCCGGGAAGCUCACCGGAUAGGACAGCAGAAUGAUUGCCGGGCUGAAGACCCUGCAUGACUAGCUG
rnacentral:rRNA from 1 species